GAUGAAGAACGCAGCGAAAUGCGAUAAGUAAUGUGAAUUGCAGAAUUCAGUGAAUCAUCGAAUCUUUGAACGCACCUUGCGCCCUUUGGACUUCUGAAGGGCAUGCCUGUUUUAGUAUCAUGAACACCUCAACUCCUUAUGGUCUUCCAUGAUGAGCUUGGACUUUGGGGGUUUUGCUGGCCUACAGUCAGCUCCUCUAAAAUAAAUCAGCUUACCGGUGUUUGGUGGGUAUCAUGGGUGUGAUAACUAUCUACGCUCGUGGUUUUCCACCAGGUAACCUUCAGCAGUGGAGGUUCACUGGAGCUCAUAGAUGUCUCUCCUCAGCGAGGACAGCCCUUUGAAUGUUUGAUCUCAAAUCAGGUAGGACUACCCGCUGAACUUAAGCAUAUCAAUAAGCGGAGGA
rnacentral:misc_RNA from 1 species